ensembl:lncRNA
GUUUACUAACCUGCUUCCAAAAUUUCAUUGAUAUUUCUUGUCAGCUGUGACGUCCUCACCAGUUCUCUGUGGGUCUGCUGAAUAGUUUUGCCUUUUUUUUUUGGCUGUUAUUUUAGUGUCAUUAGUCAGAAUCAAGCAUGUAUUCAACUGGCUCUUCCUCUAUCUUACUUUUAAGCCACCACCAUCUCUCACCUGGCAAUAAAUAUCUUUUGGAAUGAUGAAUGAAUGACCUUUGACACACAGAGCCAUGAGGGAAGGAGACGUGAUGCUGCUCAACCUCAUUGAAAUGCAUCUUCAUCUUGUUGUUCCUGUAACAUCUCUUAAAGUUUCAGACAUAGAUGCUGAAUUAUUGCUUUAAGCAACUUUCAGGGUGUAAUUAAAGUACAAGGUCUGACUGCCAGGACUCGAGAUAAAUUUCAGUGUCUCAGAGGCAGUGAGAUGUGGCUUUGAAUUCAGGGGCUGAAACGAUUCUCCCAGAAGUGGUAUAUGAGGCCACAAAAGAGCUCCAUUCAGGAAGGAAAGGAUGGACAAAGAUGGAAGCCAAAGCGUGGCGUGUUAGUUAUUCUUCGUAUGCAGAUCUGAAUCCAAGAAAACCUAGACAGGAAUGUCUUUUCCCCACAAAUAUGCAAUUCACCAAAGAAAAAACAAAGAAGCAGAAGAAGUAUAUAUUAGAUUAUCUCAAAGUAAAUAGGCAGACAUUGUUGCCCCUGGAUGUAAGUAGUCGGUCACUUCUGAGUGCCUGACGUGGCAUUGUCUCUCAGGAGCACGGAGCGCUGAACAUCCUUUGCGAAACAUUCUCCCAAGGAAGGACUCGGAGGGCUGGUUCACUUUCACUGAUGUCUGCUGAAGCCAUGGCUCUUUAUUUCAAAGUCUGGUUCUGAAUUUUCUGACUGAAACCCUGUUUCCAUAGUCCUUUCUAUUUUUCGUAUUAAUUUUUUGUGUCAAAUAUAAAAUGUAUUUUCAUUUUAGAAAUGAAUAAGGAACGGCUGGGCGCGGUGGCUCACGCCUGUAAUCCUAGCACUUUGGGAGGCCGAAAUGGGGUAGAUCACCUGAGGUUAGGAGUUUGAGACCAGCCUGGCCAACAUGGUGAAACCCUGUCUCUACUAAAAAUACAAAAAUUAGCCGGGCAUGGUGGCAUGCGCCUAUAAUCCCAGCUACUUGGGAGGCUGAGGCAGGAGAAUUGCUUGAACCUGGGGGACAGAGGUUGCAGCAAGCCGAGAUCAUGCCACUUCACUCCAGCCUGGGUGAAAGAGAGAAAUUCUGUCAAAAAAGAAAAAAAGAAAAGAAAAGAAAAGAAAAGAAUAAGGAAAACACAAUUUUCUUCAUACCAAAAUAAUUAACAUUUUGGUAUAUUUCUUUGUAGUUUUUCCCAUGUAUGUGUAUUUAAUGCAGUUAUUCUUAUGUAAAAUAUAUGUCAAUUUCCUUUUACAUAUUAUCAGUUUGGUGCAAAAGUAAUUCCAGUUUUUGUCAUUACUUGCAAUAGCAAAAAGUGCAAUUACUUUUGCGUCAACGUAAUACAUCCUUUGUAUUUCCCCAUGUCAAAUACUCUUGAAAAAUAUUAUGGUGGAAUAACCUGUCUGAAGUACGUAACAUAAUUUAUUUAAACUCUUCCUUAUUUUGAGAAUUUAAGUAACUAACAGUUUUUGUUAAUAUAAAUAAUGCUAUAAUGAACAUCUUUGCAUAUAUAUCACUGUGCUCUUAUCAGAUUUUAAGGACUUUCUUAAAAAGUAUUUAUAUCAAGAAUAAACUAUAGUUUUUUUGAGGCCUUUAAUACAUAUUAUCAAAAACUUUUAAAAAUGUAUAAAUAUAUAUUUCUACCAGCAGUACAUAAAAUGUCCAUCUUUCUGCACCUCCACUAUCCAUCGGUUAGCAUGAAGUUAUAGAAAUUCUAAAUCUAAGUUCCCCUAGACAUGACAUCUAGGGGUCUAAGACCCUAAAAUGGUGUGCCAAAUUUUAUGUAGAUGUACAUUUUUUGGAGGAGAGGGUUCUUGACAGAAUGUUUAAGCAUUGAAUUAUUCUUGUGUUUUUGUUUAAUUUUUCAUGUCUUAGAUAACAAAUGAAGUUGAACAUUUCUUCAUACAUUUGUUGUUCAUUUGUCUUUUUACUUCUGAGAAUCAUCUCAAGUUCUUGCUUGAGUUCCACUGGAGUAUUUGUCUCUGUCUUUUGGAUUUGCAAGAGCCUCUUAGAAAUAAAAGAUGUUGAUCCGUUGUUUGCCAUAUUUGUGUGGCAAUUAUUUUCCUAGCUUGGUGGUUUUUGAUAGAGAGAGAUUUAAAAUACUAUAGAAUCAGUGUUAGUGAAUGUUUCUUUUGUUUUCUCAUCCAUCAUUUCUAUGUUUAGGAAGGCUUCUCCCAAUUAGAGAUUGAUACAGUAUAUGUUUGUAAUUUAUUCUAGUGCUUUAUGGUUUGCCAAGUAUUUAAUCCAUCUAGAAUUUAAUGUAUUAUUCACUCACUUAUUCAUUUCUUCUUCUAACAAACAUUUAUUGUGCCCUUAUGUGUCAGGCAUUUAACGUGAAGUGGGAAUUCAACUUGAUAGUUUCCUCAACUGCCUUAGGUAUUUUUCUUCAUUAUCAUUUGUUGCACUGGUGAUUGCUUCCUUUAUUAUAUUUUAUUAAAUUAUAUUAAAUUCAUUAAUAUUAAAAUAUACUAUUAGUAUGUUUAUCUCAUUAAUAUAUCUACUUACAAAUUUUAAUUAAAUAUCAAAUUUUAUCGUUACACAAAAUGGAUAUAUUUGACAGUAAAUAAAUUUAAAAAUUAUUACAUAUAUGGUAUUUUCAGUGCAGUUUCUUGUAUUUCAUUAAUCUUUCUUUGAUUCAUGCACCAAUUCCACACACUUCCAAUGAUUGCAACUUCAGGAUUUAUUUUAAUAUUUGCUUC